UAAGUUGAAUUGAGAAUCAAUGGAUUGC
rnacentral:sRNA from 1 species